rnacentral:rRNA from 1 species
AACGAACGCUGGCGGCAUGCCUAACACAUGCAAGUCGAACGAGAUCUUCGGAUCUAGUGGCGCACGGGUGCGUAACGCGUGGGAAUCUGCCCUUGGGUUCGGAAUAACAGUGAGAAAUUACUGCUAAUACCGGAUGAUGUCUUCGGACCAAAGAUUUAUCGCCCAGGGAUGAGCCCGCGUAGGAUUAGGUAGUUGGUGGGGUAAUGGCCUACCAAGCCGACGAUCCUUAGCUGGUCUGAGAGGAUGAUCAGCCACACUGGGACUGAGACACGGCCCAGACUCCUACGGGAGGCAGCAGUGGGGAAUAUUGGACAAUGGGCGAAAGCCUGAUCCAGCAAUGCCGCGUGAGUGAUGAAGGCCUUAGGGUUGUAAAGCUCUUUUACCAGGGAUGAUAAUGACAGUACCUGGAGAAUAAGCUCCGGCUAACUCCGUGCCAGCAGCCGCGGUAAUACGGAGGGAGCUAGCGUUGUUCGGAAUUACUGGGCGUAAAGCGCGCGUAGGCGGUUACUCAAGUCAGAGGUGAAAGCCCGGGGCUCAACCCCGGAACUGCCUUUGAAACUAGGUGACUAGAAUCUUGGAGAGGUCAGUGGAAUUCCGAGUGUAGAGGUGAAAUUCGUAGAUAUUCGGAAGAACACCAGUGGCGAAGGCGACUGACUGGACAAGUAUGACG